GAUAUCACUUGGUUUUGUUUAGUUCCAAACUAACUAAUCAAAUUCAACUUUUCCUCUUUUCUCUUUUUCCAAUGUUAGCUCCAAAUUCAAAUUUCUUUUAUAUUUUCUCUCAUUUCUCUUAUAUCACUUUUCACUUCCCUCAUUCACCGCGAGAAUCACUUUUUCUUCCUCUUAUUCUUUAUUUUCUCUUCCUCUUCCUCCUAUGUAAAAACCUAAAUAGACAUUCUUCUUCAUUUUCCAAUUAAAAUCAAAUCCACAUCUUAAAUCGUAGAAAGUUGGCGACGAGAUUCCGAUUGUCGUGGUUCAGUAUAUCGUCGGUGGUGCGUCGGGGAAAGAAGGGGCGAAUUUGAUGUGCAAGAUGGUGGUCGAUUUAUCUUGUUAUGAUUGAAUAACAUGUUAUAUAAACUUCUUCCAAUUUCCUUUGUUUUCUUAGGGUUUUGUGUAGUUGAAGUUCAAAACUGCUAUUAAUGAAAAUGAUAAUGAUGGUUGAUGAAGAAGGUGGUGAUAUAAGUUUGAAUGGUGAUGAUAUGUUGAAGAUGGUGAGUUAUUCCUAUGUAUUUGAACCAUAUGUUUCUGAUUUGCUGUUUUUCACUGCAGUGUGCGAUUUCGCUGUGGUAUAUAUGUGGUGGCGACAAUCAUGAAUUUCUAAAGCACUUAUUCACAUAUUGUCAACAAGAUCGAAUGUAGGACAUUAUUUUUAGUGUAUUCUACUUGAAGCCUUUUCUUACUAAUGUAGUAAACGUAUCAUUUCAUAAGCUCAGAGAUUGAUUAUGUUUUUCUUUUUUCGUUUUGGGAGCUUGGGAAUAGUCAGUCCUUAUAAUUUUGAGUCGUGUUAUACUAAUAACAUGUUGUGGCCAUGUAAUUUAUGAGCUUAUGAAGUGUAAUUUGGAGCUAUUUAAUUUAUGAAGUGUUCCAAUUUUGUUAGGAUA